rnacentral:rRNA from 1 species
CCUACGGGAGGCAGCAGUGGGGAAUAUUGCACAAUGGGGGAAACCCUGAUGCAGCGACGCCGCGUGAGUGAAGAAGUACUUCGUUAUGUAAAGCUCUAUCAGCAGGGAAGAAAAUGACGGUACCUGAGUAAGAAGCCCCGGAUAACUACGUGACAGAAGCCGCGGUAAUACGUAGGGGGCAAGGCUUAUCCGGAUUUACGGGGGGUAAAGGGAGCGUAGACGGCAGCGAAAGUCUGGAGUGAAAGGCGUGGGCUCAACCCGCGGACUGCCGGGGAAACUGUACGGCUGGAGUGCAGGAGAGGUAAGUGGAAUUCCUGGUGUAGCGGUGAAAUGCGUAGAUAGUAGGAGGAACACCAGUGGCGAAGGCGGCUUACUGGACUGUAACUGACGCUGAGGCUCGAAAGCGUGGGGAGCAAACAGGAUUAGAUACCCUUGUAGUC